rnacentral:rRNA from 1 species
CCAGACUCCUACGGGAGGCAGCAGUGGGGGAUAUUGCACAAUGGGGGAAACCCUGAUGCAGCGACGCCGCGUGAGUGAAGAAGUAUUUCGGUAUGUAAAGCUCUAUCAGCAGGGAAGAAAAAAGACGGUACCUGACUAAGAAGCCCCGGCUAACUACGUGCCAGCAGCCGCGGUAAUACGUAGGGGGCAAGCGUUAUCCGGAUUUACUGGGUGUAAAGGGAGCGUAGACGGCAAUACAAGUCGGAAGUGAAAUACCCGGGCUCAACCUGGGAACUGCUUUGGAAACUGUAUGGCUGGAGUGCUGGAGAGGUAAGCGGAAUUCCUAGUGUAGCGGUGAAAUGCGUAGAUAUUAGGAGGAACACCAGUGGCGAAGGCGGCUUGCUGGACAGAGACUGACGUUGAGGCUCGAAAGCGUGGGGAGCAAACAGGAUUAGAUACCCUUGUA